rnacentral:tRNA from 1 species
UUAAUGGUAGUAUAAAUAGUAUACCUUCCUUCCAAGAAGGUGGUCCGUUGAUGUGGUCAUUAAA